UAUUUUUUACUUUCCAACUUUAAAACCAAGUUUGUUCACCUGCCUCUGAACUGAGUAGCAGCAGCAUGUUUAACUGUUUUCUGGGUUUUUUUCGCCUCCGCUGCAGGAACAGCAUCAGCACCGGGCGCCGCCGGCUUGUCACCGGUCUCCUCGUCUCCUCCUCCUUGCAGCUGAGGAGACGACUCAAACCUCCCACCAGUCCUCUCACCCGCAGACAGCUGUUUCAGCCUCUCUACUUUUGCACUUGCUUUUUAACCGAGCUUUAUCGGCUCCUCGCGCUCGCCGGACUCCCUCGACUCUCACAGGGAAUCAACACAUAGACAAGCAGGAGAUUCAAUCAACACUUGGUGGGGAGGCAAAGUGAGACAGAGGGAGGAGAAGGGCAGGUGGAGAAGACGGAGUUGAUUACCGGCGGAGUUUAGCGGCACCAUUCCUCUUCCGCAGCCACCGGGACGACUCAUCCGUCUUCUCACACUCGCACUGUUGUGCAUGCAUAAUGAGCCAGCGCUGACGAACAGAGGGAUGAAUUUCAUAAAUCAUGCUCUUGUUUGUAACAGCUUUUCUCUCUCUUUCCCCUGUCUCUUUUUCCCUUUCAAUUAAAGCAGCAGAACCCAUUCUAAACGUUGAGUGCCUGGAGACAUACAGUCCAAGUAAAUUAUUUCCUGUAUAGUUUUCCGAUUUGAGGCAAUUUUGCUGCCCCUCUCCCGAUAUCCUCCUCACUAUAUCUGUCAAAUGACACUCAAUCUGAGUCUUUUAUAUCUGUUGACUUUCAAAAUAAUAAGCACCAUAAAAAAAGAAAUACACACAUAGUAUGAGGACACUGGUGGGAGGGAACUAUAACAUCUGUAGAUGGUUCUGUGUUGUGAAAUAGAGCCUGGGUAUUGGUUAUGACACUGUAUAUCUACUAGACGAAUAGAAACAAAUGUGACAAACCCACAAACACAGACAUGCAAAUGCUGUGCACGUAAAUGAAAAUUGCAACCCAAGCUUAUCAUUGGUGUAAUACAGUUUUUAUUACUCACUGCUCUCUGUGAUUGGAGA